rfam:Rattus norvegicus chromosome 3, whole genome shotgun sequence.
GGAGAUUUAGCUCAGUGGUAGAGCGCUUGCCUAGCAAGCUCAAGACCCUGGGUUCGGUCCCCAGAUCCA